rnacentral:lncRNA from 1 species
UCCCUCUCUUCUAUACCCAAAUAUACCCCAACCAUUUUCCCCUAAGCUACAAGGAGGAAAAAUUUCUCAGAAAAAAAAAAAAACUCAAAAUGAAAAAAAAGUUAUCAAUUGUUAGGUUAAAGUCCUCUUAUAUGAGGACUCCAACAUUGUAACCCCCACCCAAAACCUAAUACACAUUCUGAAAAAUACAGCAAGAAAUUAAAAUUGCAAUGUCAUGCAUCUAUAUAUAUACAUACAAAAUAAGAUUUAAAACUAAUUAACUCACUGGAUCUAGAAAACAACUUCUUCUUCAACUCUGAAAGAUGUACUCUUCAUGAUAAAGCUAACUUGCUAUUGUGAUGGGAUGAAUAGGAUCCGAGGUUCCUCUCAGCGAAAAAUAAGAGACUUUUUCAACCUUAAUUCGACUGUAAAAAUUUAGUAGGGCUGAAAAUUUACUUGCAGCUAAUAUGAUCACUCCGAUCCAACUCCUCCCAUCAAUAUGCAUGAAGUCAUGUUGUUUCUUGUUCUUUUUUUUUCUUC